UCUAAACUUAAAUCACUGCAAAACAUAAAUGUCAACAAUAAACAAUUAAAUGCAAGCAAUGUAAACAAUGAUGUAUUAAUUAGACGGAAUUUGUGGUUUUGAUAUUGAAAUAAAAACUUUAAAUUGAAAAAAAGAAGAUUCAUUGAUCAUAUUUUGAUUGAUGUAAUCACCGUAACGAGAUAUAAAGGAUGUCUCUGCGGACAAAACUUCAUUACAUCUGGAAUAACGUGCCAGAAAAAAUCUGUUUAUAUUUUUAAUUCAGCUGUGAACUAAAACAAACAUGAAAACGAGACAGGUUAUCUCAAGUUUAGUCUUAUUAAGCCUGAUAGUUACCAUAACUGCCGAUCCGAACGACGCCACGCAAGAUACAUAUAACAAUUUGGUUACUUUGCAAAUGAUAAGGCUUUGUCGCCAACUGAAAGGUGAAAUGAAGAACUACUGUUUGAUACAAGUGAUGACUCGGCUAGGAUAUGAUGUCAACAUGCCAACACUAAACGAUAUUGUACCGUCAUACUAGAAACAGAUAAAAAAACAUGAAAGAUCUAUAUGUUAGUGUUAGAAAGAGAUGUUUCUUUUAUAAUACUAGUAUUCUACACGGACAGUUGCUUACUUGCCAAUGCUUAAUGAUGUCACCAGCGCUGUAUGACGUCAACAACGUUUGAUGACGUCACCAAUGCUUAAAAAAUGUCACAAAGGAAAAAUGAUAUCAUGUACUUUCACUACCGCCAGAAAAAAACACAAAUUAUAUGUUGCUCCAAUGUAUAUAAUAUCUAGUGAAUGUUUAAAAAGAAAAAUGGAAAAUAGUUUUUUUUUUCACAAAGGUUUACAAUAAUCAACAAAUAUGAAAAUUGCAAAAACAAGAUGCAUUGAAUUUGUUGUUCAGUGUUUUACAUGAGAUAUUAGUAAACUGAUUUUAAUGAGAAGAUAGAUUUUUUUACUAAAGACUUCUAGUCUAUCAUUUUACUUUUUUAUUUUUCCAAAAGCACUGAUUUGAUCACUUCUCUUUUUAGAAGCGUUUUUUAAUUAUGCUUUGAUGUUGAUUUCUUUCAUGUGAUGAAUAAAUCUAGAUAGCUAACGAGUUGCUCUACAAGUAUCUAUAAUAUUGUCCAUAAGAAGACCGUGUAAGAAUGAAUUCCAAAUAAAAAUUUCGAAAUGAAUCAUCA